GAUGAAGCCGAGCACGGCUGUUUCUAAAGUGCUUUUUACUGGGACGGAUACCUCCUCCUCCUGCCUGAGGUGAGAGACCUCCUCCUGCAUGAGGUGAGAGACCUCCUCCUGCCUGAGGUGAGAGACCUCCUCCUGCCUGAGGUGAGAGACCUCCUCCUGCCUGAGGUGAGAGACCUCCUCCUGCAUGAGUGAAACAAGUACGGGACGUCAGUCAGCUGCUCAGUGACCACCUGCUCCAGGGUCCCACGGUCCGUGCUCUCAGGCCUGGUUCUGGUUCUACUGGGCCUUCCUUCCCUCCAGCGGGUCCAGCACUACGUCCUUGGUCUCCAGUGUGGAGAAGCUCUGCUCCUGGAGAAGGAGG
ensembl:lncRNA